rnacentral:rRNA from 1 species
UCCUUGCUCAGGAUGAACGCUGGCUGCGUGCUUAACACAUGCAAGUCGAACGAUGACGACCGGGCUUGCCUGGUCUGAUUAGUGGCGAACGGGUGAGUAACACGUGAGUAACCUGCCCCUCACUUCGGGAUAACCUCGAGAAAUUGUGGCUAAUACCGGAUAUGAACUUCCGCCGCAUGGUGGUUGUUGGAAAGUUUUUCGGUGAGGGAUGGACUCGCGGCCUAUCAGUUUGUUGGUGAGGUAAUGGCUCACCAAGACGAUGACGGGUAGCCGGCCUGAGAGGGCGACCGGCCACACUGGGACUGAGACACGGCCCAGACUCCUACGGGAGGCAGCAGUGGGGAAUAUUGCACAAUGGGCGAAAGCCUGAUGCAGCGACGCAGCGUGGGGGAUGACUGCCUUCGGGUUGUAAACCUCUUUCAGUAGGGAAGAAGCGAAAGUGACGGUACCUGCAGAAA